GACGAAUGCUGGCUGCGUGCUUAACACAUGCAAGUCGAACGGUGAAGGAGAGCUUGCUCUCCGGAUCAGUGGCGAACGGGUGAGUAACACGUGGGCAACCUGCCCCUCACUCUGGGAUAACGCCGGGAAACCGGCGCUAAUACCGGAUACGACCAGGCGCGACAUCUCGCCUGGUGGAAAGAAUUUCGGUGAGGGAUGGGCCCGCGGCCUAUCAGCUAGUUGGUGGGGUAACGGCCCACCAAGGCGACGACGGGUAGCCGGCCUGAGAGGGCGCCCGGCCACACUGGGAGUGAGACACGGCCCAGACUCCGACGGGAGGCAGCAGUGGGGAAUAUUGCGCAAUGGGCGAAAGCCUGACGCAGCGACGCAGCGUGAGGGACGACGGCCUUCGGGUUGUAAACCUCUUUCAGCGGGGACGAAGCGAAAGUGACGGUACCCGCAGAAGAAGCACCGGCUAACUACGUGCCAGCAGCCGCCGUAAAAC
rnacentral:rRNA from 1 species